ensembl:lncRNA
GGCUCCCUGCGCCCUUCCCUCGGUCAUACAUGUCCCAGGGCCUUCGAGCACAUGGGGCAGGAGGGCCGUGCCAAUUAACUUCUCGAGAAAAAUAGCGGUUUGAAAACUCGGAGGACCUUUCCACAUCCUUCUCCCUAACGGAGCUCUCAGAGGGACAGCUACCCGUCAGCAUUUUGGUAUCCGUACCAGUGCCGUGGGUGUAGAAUUAUGACCCGUCACAGAGGAGAGAAGCCUGAGCCAGCCCGAACAUGAGGCACUCUGUAGGACUGAGUUCGCAGCCGCCCCGCCCACCCCAGACCCCUAGUCCCAGAGUGCAGCAGACUCUUGGCUUCGACAGAGUCCCCCUGCCCGCAUCUCCUUAGAGUUGAGUGUUUCUACUCCGCUUCUGAUCUCAUCCGGGGAGACGCUUGCUUUGUGUCUGAGGGAGGCUAUGCCACACAUGCACGCGGAUACAUUUGAACACUUUUCCUAUCACUGCUCUAUAUUUCUCUCUUUGAUUCAGAGGUUGGUUUGAUGAGCCAAACACAGCCAGUGUCAUCUUGACUGGGUAUAUGAUUUCAUGCCAUUUUGAAAAUCCUCUCAUGGUAUUUUUUUUUUUUUGGUGAGAAAGAUUGUUGCUGAGGUAACAUCUGUGCCCAUCUUCCUCCGUUUUGUAUGUGGGACACCAUCUCAGCGUGGCUUGAUGAGUGGCGCAGUUCCACACCCAGGAUCUGAACUGGUAAACCCUGGGCUGCCAAAGCGGAGUGCAAGAACUUAACCACUAUGCCACCGGAUUGGCCCCCCCUCACAAUUUUUUAAUUGAAGUUUUUAUUGAGAUAAUUGUAGAUUCCCAUGCAGUCAUAAGAAAUAAUACAGAGAGAUUCUGGGCACACUCUAUCCAGUUUCUCCCAAUGAUAAGCAUUUUAUACAACUAUAGUAUAACGUUGCAACCAGGAUAUUGAAUCUCUCACAGUUUCUAAGAGAAUUAAAAAAAUUGUUCCUGGGGAAGUUGGAGGGGCAGGGUGCAUGCUCCCCUCCCUUGGGCUUUGCCAGCACGGUACUUGCAGGCCUGGAGUCAGGACCCUGGACACGAAUCAGACCCAGCUCUGUCCUUGCAGCUCCUGGGUGGCCUCCCUGGGACCCAGCUUCCUCACCAGUUUGGGGGCAUGACCCAAGCCAUCCACUGAGAAGCCAUCCAGGGACGUUUGUUAAAAUGACAGGGGCGCCAAGGGUUAGGAUGCAGACCGCGGCUUCAGGCAGUCACCUGGCCACCUCGCUGGAAGAGCUUGGUCCGCGUUGGGUUGAAACAGAGGAAAGCAGAGCUGACAGAUGAAAAGAGAGGGAGGUGGACAACCGGAGUCCAGAAAUGUCAACUGAUCGACGGAAGGUCACACAACUGUUCCCAGUGGCCCUUGGAGUAGGUGGAGCCUCACUGUAUCCACUAAACUCAGGAAGAAACUUCCUCCUUUCCCAGCUCCCAGGAUGAGAUGACCACAACUCACUGUAGAAAAUCCCCGCAGUUCUGCUGACAAGUGGAGUGCGUCAGAAGGUCCCCGGACAGCUUUGCUGGCUCGUCUGCUUCUGGUGCCACUUCCUGCUCUUCUUCAUGAGAAUUAUUUGUAAGGAGACAGUCACAUUAAAAAAAAAGAUUCGAUAAAA